AGAUGACAAGCUGCCCCACUUGUUUUCGUCUAUAUCAGUCUGAAGGCCUUAAUCCGUAGAAGAUUUCUUCCACUUUAGGCUUUCGAACACGUUUAUAAUCGCAGACAAAACUAUAAAGAUAUACUGGUAGCAGGUUGUGACGUCUGAGAUAUCAUUCUAAGCUUCCUCCUCCUGUAGCCAGAGCUUGUCAUUCAAUCUAUACGAGUGCUAUAUACCAGUUCUUCAGAAUCAAUAUACGAGAAGACAAGGAAACACAUGCAGUGAAUGACAUCCCAUCAUUUCUAAUUCAACAACUGCUUGUCUAUAAUAUCCGCAAAAAACAUUCUCGUCGUUUCCACCCAAAGGGGUUUUCCUCAGGAGCUAUAUA